CCUACGGGUGGCUGCAGUGGGGAAUAUUGGGCAAUGGGCGCAAGCCUGACCCAGCAACGCCGCGUGAAGGAAGAAGGCCUUCGGGUUGUAAACUUCUUUUAUCAGGGACGAAGGAAGUGACGGUACCUGAUGAAUAAGCCACGGCUAACCCCGUGCCAGCCGCCGCGGAAAUACGUAGGUGGCAAGUGUUCUCCGGAUUUACUGGGUGGAAGGGGCGUGGAGGCGGGAGUUCAAGGCAGAUCGGAAAACCAUGGGCUCAACCCAUAGCCUGCAUUUGAAACUGGACUUCUUGAGUGCUGGAGAGGCGAGCGGAAUUCCGGGUGUAGCGGUGAAAUGCGUAGAUAUACGGAGGAACACCAGUGGCGAAGGCGGACUGCUGGACAGUAACUGACGCUGAGGCGCGAAAGCGUGGGGAGCAAACAGGAUUAGAUACCCGAGUAGUC
rnacentral:rRNA from 1 species